CUGGAGAACAGUUAACAGCUUAAUGUAAAAAGCCAAGUUAGAGUAUAUAUUUUUCUUGAAGCACAUAAAGACAUCUUAAACUCUGUAAACUCAACAUGUGCGAAAUUAUGGGCCAGCCAGCCUUCCUGCCAGCCCAUAAGUUUCUGUUUGGGAAUUUUUUCACGAUUUAAGUAUCAGACUGUGAAAGCCUAAGAUGUUGUCACCAACUCAAAGAAGAAACUUGACUUUUUGUUUGUUUGUUCUUUUAAAAUGUACCUUUGCUGGUAAUAUGUGUUAGCAGGAUUAAAUGGAGUUUCACCUCAUGUAAAAAGUUGUUCAAACAUUGAUAUGCUUCUAUGAGAUAAAAAUUUAAGCUGCUGUGCCCAAUAAAAUCCUUUUACUUCAC
rnacentral:lncRNA from 1 species